GGGGCUGGGCUGGGCUGGGCUGCUGGGCGGGAAGGUGCGUGGGGUUAUCUUUCCGAGAGAGUCUCGCUGGCAGGAUUCCCGGGUGGGGAAGCCGGCUGUCAGGGAGCGUGAUUUACUGCAGGCUGAGAUUCUCUUCCUGCCAGACCCGCCCUAAUUCCUUGCAAUUCUCACAUUACUGGGGGUGAAGUCAGAGGCCCCUGGUGAAAAUGCAAAUGUUAUCUAGACAGGAAGACUCAUUAAACCUUUACCAGCUAGUAACCCAUUAUCUUAAAUCAUGUUCCCCAAAUAGCCACCUGGCCUCUUCAGAUGGCCUAGAAAGAAAUGGAAAGAUGGAAUAUUAAGUCACUUCUCUUUUCUUGAUUUCCUAACACGUUGUCUUGUGCAGACCUUCAGCCUUUUCAUACCAAGACAAUAGCCUCUUCCCCAGUCAGCGUGUUUCCAGGUCCCAGGGCUAUUUCUUGGAUCUGGAGAUCUGUCUCUGGGCUGCAUCCUCCAGGCUCUGGCACAAUGCCCUAGGAAGCCUUUCUGAAUUCCCACCACCCCAUCCAGGGGAUUGACCGCUGCUUUCAUAGCCCUUUGUCGUUGGUCUUCCAACGCUUAUGGGAGCAGAGUAUCAUCUGGGAGCAUGUGACUGGUUCAUUCAGACAUGUACUCGACAAGUAUUUGUGGAGUUCCUGUUCUGUGCCAGAUGCUAUGCCAUGUGCCGGGGGUCGAGGAAGAGACACCCCAGACGAGUCUGGUGCCCGGAGGCGCUCUCUGCUGUGGACCUGGUUCUCUUCCAUCACAGCACUGACCUUGAACGGCCGGCCACCUGUGACCCCCCAUCUCCUGCUCUGAAUCCCGCCUUCACCCCACGGGAGCCGGCAGAGCGUCUGCACCUGCCAGCUACUCAGCGCACCUUUGGAACUCAGCUGGAAUUUGGGGUCACUCUUCGGGAUCAUGGAUCAACCACGGAGCUGGUUAUUGCUGCGAUGAGAACAGCGGCUGCUGCUGCUGUGUCCCCAGAGUGAGUUUCAUGUAACUCUGCAACAUUGAUGCACUGAGGAAGACAAGGAAAAGUCCUGAGGAGGCUCAGAGCUGGCGCAAGCUCCGUGUGUGUGUGUGUGAGCGUGGGUGAGGAGGAGGCACAUCUCGAACCAUGUCCUAGAGGUCAGCCUACCUGCAAGUGACAGUGAGGACCACGCGAGGCACGCUUUGCACUGAAAAAGGUACCCCCCCACCCCCCUUCCCCAUUUUGUCUGGUGCUUCCUCCGAAGGAUUAGUGGUGACCAAAAGGGCAGUGGGGGGCUCUUGAGGAGCCUUGCCAUCUGGCAGUGCUGGAAAUGGAGUGUAUGAAAUGGUUUCUGCCGAGAGUUCCUCGGGGAUGUGGGCACCCCAACCACACCCUCAGGGCAUCGCCAGCCCCGGGGUGCUUCUGAGCCACUCUAUUCCCAAAUGGUGCGAUUAUAUCUCAGACUGUUCAUAACCCUCCAGGGUUUUUUUUUCUUUCUCUCUCUCUUUAUUCUUUUUUUCCCUGGUACAAAUAAAUUAUUUAAUGCAAUGGCUUUGAUCA
rnacentral:lncRNA from 1 species